rnacentral:lncRNA from 1 species
CACCAGUUCGUAACAUCAGUAAAAGAGAACGUAACUUCAACAUCUACAGUUAAUACCUAUAUCACAUCAAAUUUAAACAUCUUACAUGCAAAUGGAUAAAGUGUACUUGACUUUGCGAAACCGAGUGGUGAUAUUUCAUACUCCAAAGAAAAGGCCAUAUACAUUGAAGACCGCGCGGAACCAAACGAAUGAAGUUACUGGAAAUCUUGACGGUAGCGAUAUAUCUGAUAUCAGCGGAGACUCAAUCGAGUAUUCAGUUCCAGUCCAAUUGUUUGGAAAUCUUGACGGUAGCGAUACAAAAGAUACCAAUGAAGACUCAACAAAUUAUUCUGUUAAUUCUAUUGAUGUUUGAAGAAAUUCCAUUGAAUCGUCGGAUCAACAUUGUUUUCUUUUGAAAGGGCAACAAGAAAUGGGAGCUACCUGAAAGACUCUAUUGAUUUAUCUACAAAACGAUUGAGACCACUUCGCUGCAUCUCUUGAUUAACAAACCGUGGUGCAUAUGUGCUUUUGAUCAGAGAUUAAUGCGAACAAUGCACUUGUUAUUUUCGUGUUUAUUAUUUGCAUUAGUUCGCUAACCUGAAACGAAACAAUGAAUUGCCGUUGAAAGCAUGGAGUUAACUUUAUAAAUAACUAGCUGGCUGCCACAUAAAUUUAACAGAAAGUUGACCUCUCACCUCAGCACCGCAAUGUAUUCAACAAGUAUUUGCAUUCGCACGCCGCCGCUUGAAGCUUGUGAUGCGAUCCCAUAAAUUAAACUGGCUAAAACCGUAGAAAAGGAAGGCAAACGUCACCGAAAC